rnacentral:lncRNA from 1 species
UGAAGGUUUUUUUUUUUCCUACCUUAGACCGCUUAUUUAAAAGUGCUCAAAUGUCAAAAUUACUAAAUUUCAAGAUGUGGUACUUUCUUAAGAAACAAAGGAUUUCAUACCUAAAGAGCACUUAAUGCUGACUGGAUUGCUUUUCACCCCUCGUCCUUACAGCUUAUGACGCCAGCUUUUUAUUUGAGUUGUGAUGAGAUUUUGAGCAAAUGGGAACAGAGUCUCUCUCCAGGAGGAUCGUGUGACUUGGACGUGUGGCCUUAUCUACAAAAUCUAACCAGUGAUGCAAUUUCAAGAACCUCAUUUGGUAGUAGCUACCAAGAAGGAAGAAGGAUAUUCGAACUUCAGAGAGAACAGGCUGAACACAUCAUCAAGGCUUCCCAGUCGAUCUAUGUUCCUGGAUGGAGGUAAGAAAAUACAUUUUUGACUAGUAUUGAAGAAAUUUCUACCUCAUAAACUUAGUACUUCCAAUACUCUUCUUUUAUUUUUUAUUUUUUAUUUUUUUUCAUGAAGUCAUCAGUUUACACGAAUAAUUUUUUCUCACUGAAGUGAUCCAUUUCUUGCCUACAGGUUUGUGCCGACUAAGAGAAACAGAAGAAUGAAAUUUAUUGAAAAGCAAGUUCAAGCAUCUAUUAGAGAUAUUAUCAAUAGAAGGGUGAAGGCAAUGAAGGCCGGCGAAGCAAGUAAUGAUGAUUUAUUGGGCAUAUUGUUGGAAUCAAAUUUCCAAGAAAUCGAACAACAUGGUAACAAGAGUUUUGGAAUGAGCAUAGAUGACGUUGUCGAAGAAUGCAAGCUGUUCUAUUUUGCUGGACAGGAGACCACUUCUGUUUUGCUUGUCUGGACACUGGUUCUAUUGAGUACACAUUCAGACUGGCAGAUGCGUGCUAGAAAAGAAGUCUUGCAAGUAUUUGGUAGUAAAAAACCAGAUUUUGAUGGGUUAAAUCAUCUCAAAAUUGUAAGUAUUAUCCAUUAAUUAAACGUAAAAUACGAUAGAAACACCUGUGAUAGACCAUCCUCGUAGUACUUCCCCUGCUUGCAACUCUUAUGACAUAUUUGGAAAUGUGGAUUAGAUAGUAUUAGGCAGUAUUAAAUCACCUCAAAAUUGUAAGUAUUAUCCAUUAAUUAAACGUAAAAUAUGAUAGAAAUACCUGUGAUAGACCAUCUUCGUAGUACUUCCCCUGGUUGCAACUCUUAUGACAUAUUUGGAAAUGUGGAUUAGAUUGUAUUAGGCAGUAUUAAACAUUUUGUAAAGUUCUCUCUUGAAUGAUUUGUAUUACAUAUCAAAUAUAUACUCAAGAGAUCUUCAUUGCAGGUUACCAUGAUUUUAUACGAAGUCCUGAGACUAUAUCCACCACUUGCUGCUCUUGAUCGAAAUGUUCAAAAAGACACGAGAUUGGGGAAAUUAUUGCUCCCAGCUGGGACGCAGCUUACAUUACCAACAGUCUUAUUACAUCAUGACCAAGAAAUCUGGGGAGAAGAUGCAAUGGAGUUUAGACCAGAGAGAUUUAGUGAAGGAGUGUCAAAGGCACAAAAAAGACAAGGUUUAUAUUUCCCUUUUGGGUGGGGACCUCGAAUUUGUGUUGGACAAACUUUCGCCAUGAUACAGGUGAAAAUGGCAAUGGCAAUGAUUCUACAACGCUUCUCUUUUGAGCUCUCUCCAUCCUAUACGCAUGCUCCUCGCACAAUUAUAAUUCUUCAACCUGAGCACGGCGCUCACCUAAUUCUGCACAAGAUAUAGCCCGAUUAUGUAGUGUAUCAAACUUAUAAUGAAGUGUAUCAAAUUUCUUCUUCUUCUAUUUUUUUUUUCAAUAUUGUGACUGUCUAAUGCUAUCUAAUCCAUUGUAAGAUAGAUUUUAGAAUGAAAUAGUCAAGGUGGUUACAAUAAUUGCUAGGAUCCACACACGGAGCCAUGUUUUGUUUCACUCAAUUCCAGUAGGAGAUGGCUACAAGAAAUAAUGAAUUAUUCGGUGAUUCAAUAUGUUCAACCGAAUAAGAUGGGGGAAAUGAGAGUGUGUUUCUAAGCUCCCGUUUGAUUUGGAUAAAAAUUUGUUUUUAGUAGAAUUAAUGAAAGUUGAUAAAAUGUGUUGUGCAAAAGUUGAUAAAACUUGUGGAUCCUAUAAAAUGUAUGAUUGAGAAUGAAUUUGAGGAAAAACAAUUUUCAAGAAUAUGAAAUAAUUCAGAGGAUUUAUUUUGCAUAACACGUGUAUAUCUCUGUACUUUUUAUAGUGUUGCGAGACCAUCCCGUUGAAUGAAAAGAAUCCAUUCUACUAUUCCAUCCUCGCAUGUAUUGCAUGUUGGUCAUAGACAAGGGUAAUUUUUGUAGGCAAUGUCCUAUUUCCAAUUCUCAUCACCCAACCGUUCAAUUUCCCCAUUCAAAUCAGAAUAUCAGUUUCAAGAGAUUCAUUUUUGCAUUUGAAAUCAUCAAUCUUCUUGUUCAUCGUACAAAAUUAAUCAUAUUUUCAUGGAUUAUUUGGUUGUACACCGAAGAAGUUAUAUAUGUGUUGUCGAUUUUGCAUCUCGCCAGUGUACGGAUCGUAAAAAGUAAUAAUGUAGACAUAAAAGUCCGAAUAUCGUUCCCACGAGGAAUAUUAUUUAACAACUGGUUCAAUUAUUCCUAAACCUUAAUUUGAUAAAAAUAAAUAAAUAAAUAAAAAUAAAAACAAAGAAUUAGAUGUGAUUUUUGAUACAAAUUUUUGAAAAAAUAUGUGUAUGCACACAAAGAGUGAUUUGGAACAUAAAUAAUGAACCAAAUGUUGAAUUUUAGUUCCCGAACUCCAUUCUCUUUUCUUGACUUCUUUUUUUAUUUUUUUUAUUUUGUCUUCUUCCAAUACUUCAUUCUUUUGCACAAUUGAUUUUUGACUCUUUCACUUCUUCGUUUAUUCUUCCGAGUCAUCUUUCAACUAUUUGCACUUUGGUCCCUGAACUUUGGUUUUAUUUCAUUUUGGUCAUUUUUUCGCUUAUUUCUUCUAAACUCCACCAUAGUCAUCAAUUUUAUCCUAUAAAACAAAAUUUAAAUAGAAUUAAGCCAUAUUUCAACAUAUUUUCCAACAAUUAUAUGUCUAAAUAAGUAUGUAAAACGCAGUUAUCAGCCAAUACCACAGAAAGUGAAAGCAUUACUAAAUUUGCCGAAGCUUUAGAAUUAGAAAUGACUGCCAUUUUGAGAGAAGAAAUAGAAUGUGUUUGGUUUUGAUGAGUAAAAGUUGGAUUUUGGAAACCCUCUAUAUAUAGAUUUUGCACUCAUCUCUUGAAGGUGGAGUUGGGCUGGGGACUAUUCUAAGUUGGAUGAUAGGUGUGUUUUUGUACACUUAUUAGAUACUUUAACAAGCUAAUUAUUAAUUACAGCUUUUGGAGGUUAAAAUCACUCAAGGGAAUAAAACAAGGCAACAUGAAGUGAAAAGGGACCAAAAUCGUAUAAAAUUGUGAAUUUGAGGACAAAAGUGCAUACUAAAAAGUCCAAGGACUUGGGAUUGCAAUUUUGGAGGGCAUAAUUGAUAUGAAAUUAAAAAUCUAAGGACCAAACUUCACAAGAUCAAAGUUUAGGGAUCUGACGUGCAAUUAUCUGGGGGACUUAGCUACAAAAUGAAACCAAAUUCAUAUUUUUGGCAAAGAAUGGGUGUCUAGGUGUAGGUGGCACUGUAGUGGUGCCUAGCGCCUGGUUCAAAAUGCAGGAAUCGUUUUGCGGCUGCCAAGAUUUCAGGUACUCGAGCUACAAUUUUUGAAUAGCCUUUUAGGUUUUAAGUGUGAAAAUCGACGGCUGGGGAGAGGAUUCCGUAUUCUUCUUCUUUUUGUUUUCUUUCUUUUCAUUUUUACUUUUUUCUCUCUCUUUUUCUGUUUCUUUUCCUUUCAUUUUCUUCUCUUUCUCUUUCCAUUUUUCUUGGUAUUUUGAGAAUGCAAUCUGGAGCACAAGAAGAAGUAACCAAACACAUUGGAGAAAUACUUGGGAAAAUUCAAGAUCAAGCCAUUGUCAUCUUCAAGAAUCUAACAUAAAAUGGAAUUUUAUCUCUAACACCGUAUUUUCUCCAUUAUUUUGCCAAACUUGUAAUGCAUUGUUAUAAAUUUUCUCCUUUUUUUUUUUUUUUUAUAUCAUUUCUAUAAUAUGGAUUAAGCAUUUUUAUUUUGGGAUUUAUGGUUGAAGUUAACCUAGCUUUAAUUAAUUUUAAUAUUAAAAUGCUUAUUUUCGUGUGUAUUUACUAUUAUAUUUCUUGUAUUUUUAUUUAUGUGUGGUCAAUGAAUAAUUAUAUUUAGUGAAUCCUACAUCGUUCCAUAUAAGGUUGUGCAUUUUAGAUCAAAUAGUAGAAACUCUACGUUUGUGUGAGGGUAAGAGAUAUACCAUAACUCUAGGUGACUAAUUGAAUUAUUUUCACAAAGAUUUAAUGCGGUUGUUUUAUUUUUAUCGAUAUAGAGAUAUUGUAGAUUAAACCAAGUGAUUAGAGUUAAUUUCGUUUAAGAGACGUAAUAAAUUAAAAUUGGAAAAUAUGGUUUAACAUAGUAAAUUAGUAAUUUGUUAAUUAGUUUAUGGAGAAAUUAAUUAGGCGAUAGUUAAGUGAAAUCAUGAAUCCCAACAACUUUUUUCCUCUAAAAUUUGUUUCCUUUUUCUUAUUUUGUAUUUUUUAGUUCAUUUUACUCAUCUUCAAAAUUCAAGUCUUAUCCUGUGUUAGUUUUUAUUGUUAAAAUAAGAUUGAUUAAAGUUGUGUAAUCUAAAGUAAAUAUUCCUUGAGUAAUCGACAAUCUGAACUCAAAAGGUUCAAUUUAUUAGUUGAACGCGAUCUGUGCACUUGCGAUUUACACUUUCCUCACGAACAUAGUACACCAUGGACUAAAAGUUGGCAAAGAUUAAUUGAAUAAAUUGAACGGAAUAAUUUUUCCGCGUGAGGUAUAAGCCUUUAUCAUCACUGGCAUGGGUCAUUUCUGCGGGGCACUUUUAUGUCAGUGCGUGGAUCAAAUUGUACCUUAGCAGCUUAACCGUAAACUAAAAUUCAAAAUUAUUUCUGGCAUUUGAUUCCUAAAAUGUAAUUAUAAAGCAUAAUUAUCCUUUUUUUUUUUAAAUAUAAUCAUUUUGUGGGACUGAUCUUUAAUUAUUUCCAUGAGAUUUCAUGUGGCUUCUCGUCGAGAGAAUCAUAAAAUUAAAAAUAGUAGUUUUCUUAGGUAAAAAAGUAAAAAAAAAUAGCUGAUUGGUACUACCAUCACAUUGAAUAUAGUAGAAGAGUAAUUCUUAUAACAUGUUUUAUUUCUUUAAUUAUGCUCGGAAUUAUUUUUUGUAUAUAAUGUAUCUUCAUAGGAGAAUUUAAUUCAUAGUCUUGAGAUUGGUACAACUAGAUAUGUAAAACUAGACAGGAUGUCUCAUCCCCUUGCACACAAAUAACAUAGCUUGACUGGUUGAGGCUGUUGAGUUUUGAUACCCAAUAAUUUGGGCGAUGAUUUAAAAUAGAUGAUGGAUAAUUUAUCGACACCAUGGAUUUGGCUCGACUCGAAUACGAUCGACACUUUUGGAAUGCCCAAGUUGGAAUUGGAUUGGUGCUCUGAUUAGUAUGUAGUUUUGGAUUAUUAUUGGUCCAUUAACUUAACCCAUUGAGAGAGAUAUAUUUUUGGCCCAUUUAAAUAAAUAAGUUUAGUCGAAUUAUUUGUGACCUAAUACCCAUCUAUAUAUCCAUCCUCCUACAGCUGGUUUUUGUGGGGUGCGCGCACGCAAGAGAGAAGGAAAGGAGAGAAAGAAGAGCGACCAACUUGGGGGAAGAGGAGAGAGGUUUCCUACCAUUGUUGCAUCUUCUUCCUCCUCCUCUUGGUAGUAAAACCACCAUCCAUUCCUCUUUGUGGGGUUUGACAAUUCUUGGAGCAAUCAAGUUGAAGGUUAAAGGUUUGAGCUGAGCCGAGGUUAGGUAGUGUUCGUUUGAUUGUUUUCUGAACCCUAAAUCAAGAUUUCUCAAGAGAUUUCCGCGUCGCAAGCCUCAAGUUGCAACAACGGCCGAUAAAUCAUGAGAACUAGAAUGUCGCUCUUGAAAAGUGCUAUCUUAUUCUCUGUAACAUCGUCGUUUUUAUGUUUCCGUGUUUAGAAUAACCAUGUGAUUCUUUAAUCCCAUUUGUGACAAUAUAAAAUAAAUAUUUGCUUGGACACGCAUUCAAGCUUAGUUAGUAUACAAAAACUAAAAAAUUCAAGAGCUUUUGACUUAACGAUCGAUUGCAAUUGAAUUCAUUAAAUGUUUUGGAGAAUCUAGUUUAUGUGGCACCACUUGAUUUAAAAAAAUAAAAUAAAAUAAAAAGCAAGUUGUUAGAUAAUACCACAUGUAUAUUAUUAAUAUUACGUUAGAAUCUUGACACCUGCACAAUUCAUUUAAAAUGGGUGGCUGUCGAAACUUAACCUUUUUCCAUCGAACCUUAACAUGUGUGCAAUUCAUUUAAAUGAGAGGUGUCGAGACUCAAAUUCGAAUUCAAGAUCUUUGCAUAUUUUAAUAUCAAAUUCAACUCUAAAAUUUAACAAUUAAUUAGUUUGAAAUGGAUGGACCCCAAAAAGGCUAUAUUUGUAGCUUCAAAUUCCAGCUAAUAUUGAAGAAAUCACCGUCCAAUCUCCUUAAAGUAUUUGCGACAAAGUUCUAAAACCAUACAAUUUUUUUUUUUUUUUUUUUAAAUAAAUAGGGGGUNNNNNNNNNNNNACUAGAUAGGGGUGACAAUUAAUUCGGUCUUUCUAUAUGUAAAAUAAUUUUCGAAAGAAAGAGUAGUUGGAGUUGCAAUAAUCGCUAGUAUCAACGCACGGAGCCUUCAUGUGUUUCAUCCAAUAGGAGAGGUGUUGAUUAAUCGACCUCCAAUUGGUGGAAUUUUGGGUUUAGGAUACCAAUUUCAACCUUAUCAAUACACCCAAACAGUCACGGUCAAUCUUAAACUUCUCCUGCACUCCAGUUGCUCAAGAUUUGUACCCACUUAGAACACAAAGGAAAGGUGUUUGUAGCCACAAAGGAGGUACCACAAAGGUUGGAGAAGAAACCGACCAAGCAAGGACACAAAGCAAAAGGCAAGGACUUUUUCUCUCUUCAACACAAAGGCAAACACAGGUGAAUUAUAGAAGACCAAGGAGGCUAGCAUAUAUAGGUUAGGUUAGGUCAAAGUGAUGGAACCAAGCCCAAUACAAAUACCCUUAGUGGACCAACAUAAAUAAGCUAUCCAGUGAGUGUAGAAAUCGGGUCAUGACUAACACAAAUUAAUUAGGUUGCUUUCAAUGGCUCAAAUAGUUUUAGGGUCGGGUCAUCAAUCUUUAGUGUCGAUAAUUAAUUUAUCCAACAUCAAUUUAACAUCAUCGCCCGAAUUAUUGGGUAUCUGUUGACGAUUUUAUCCCACAAGUGGACGGAUUGUAAUAAGUAGUAAAGUGAAUCUUUUGAGUCCGGAUUAUCGUUCCCACGAGAACUAUACUUUAGUACUCAAUUUAUUAUUCCUAACUCCUACUUGAUGAAUAUAAAUAAAAAAAAAUAUAUUUGAUUGACUGUGAUUUUUAAAUCUAACUACUAAAAAUUUCGGGAAUAUAAUAGAAAAUUAGUGAGAAUUCAAUUACUAAAUGGAGAUUAGGGCAGAAUAACUUCACAUAUUGGUCUCUUUUAUUUCUAAUAUUGAGAUUCAUAAAACUAAAACAGUGUUCGGUCAAAUUCUUUUAUUGUAUUCAACUUACCUCUCUCGAGUUCUCGUUGAGCCUAUUUAAUUAGUUCAAUUCAUCUCUCUAUACAAAUUAAAUUUAAUUAAACAAAAUAACAAUUCUAAGAAUUUCUAUAGGACCACAGCAAUUAAUAUAGGUAUCUCUACACAUUAUAUUAAUUUAUCGAAUUUUAAUAUGUAAUCUAAAUAAGAAUCUGCAUCUCUACGUAAUUAUUGUUCACAAAAUUAUUGAAUAAUUGGCCAGAGAAAUUCAAAGCAUAAAAAACAUAAUUAAAAUUCACACAUAAAAUAUAAAAUAACAAGAAUCUCAAAUAAAAGAAAUAAGGGUCCCAAAUAGAUUACAUUGUUCGUCCUAAAAUUAAAUUUAGCUGCGCAUAUUGAUGAAAAAAAACAAGAAAUUAUGGAGGACAUCACCAGAUUAAUUGACUGAACGUGAAUUUGCAGUUGGUUUCUGCGUGUCUUCCCUCCAACGGCUUCCUUCUAUAUUUCUCUCUGUCUGCGUCAACCUCUUCUUUUCACAGAAAGUGUUGAUUACCUCAAUUACUCUAUGCAUGUACGUAUGAAUCUCUCCAAUAGUAAUUAAGUAGCCACCAAGUUUUGCAUGAAAAUAUAUCAAAUUGGCUCCUCAAAUUCCGUGCGUAGAGAUGAUGAUGGCAACCCCUCUCCUUUUGCGUGAAUGUCUAUAUAUCCCACUUUAUAGCCACCAAAUUUGACUCUAAUUCAAACCUUUUAAUGUGAUAUUACCCAUCAAGUCCUCAGUCUUUCAAUAUAAUGCAAUUCAAUCCUUGAAUCCUUUUAUUCUUGCAACACAUGUCUUCUUUGAUUCAAUUGAAGUCCUUCACUUUUCCAAAUAUGAAAUUUGAUCUCCAAAUUCUUCAAUCUUCGAUUCAUGGUCCGGAUCAGCUAUUGAAUUAUUACAACUUGGUCCCCAAACUUUUGCAUUUCGCUCUUUUUUGCUUCAUUCCUUCAAUUCCCUUUUCAUUAAUAGAAUUUACCUAUUAAAAAUAAGAAACAACAAUUUAGGAUAUAAUUUGUCAAAAGAAACAUCAAAUAUCUUUAUUUUAAGGUACCGAAUAAGUGUAUAAAAUACACUUAUCAAAUACCUCCAAACUUAAAUAUUUGUUUGUCUUCAAAUAAAACUAUAAACUAAAUAAUGAUAGACACACAAAUAUGCAAAAAUAUUCGGUUGGACAAUCUAGCUUUUUACCUCAGGAUUCAAGAUUUAGUGUUUACUCUAUAAACAUAAUUCAAAGUCACAGUACCAAACUAAUAUCCACUCUUCCAAUACAAAAAUUAACGUGUGUGUUUAAAGAAUCGAGUAAUCAACCAUGACUUCACAAGUUGUUUCAAUCCCCGACCCUUAAUGGUCAUAUGUGUCCUUUCAUCACUCGUAAGAUUCACACACCUCCAAACUUAUUUUUUUUUCACUCUUUCCCAGUGUGUAAUAUAAGGCUGAAUAUUUCAUUACUAUUCUUACCCUCUCGAGUUUAGGUGGACGUUACUAGUUGCAAGUCAACACUUCAGUGAAUAGGAAUUCUCCAAUUAUUUGAUUGCUUCGACCUCCAAGACUCAACUAACUAAUUAUGUUGCAUCAAAAGUCAAGUUCCUUCAAAUAAGUGUUAGGGCUUAACCAAAGUAUUGAGUGCUUUUGCUCUUUUCAUGCACUUGCUUUUCCUAUUUUUCACAAGUUUUUUUUUUAAUAUUCUCUCCAUUAAGCUUUCUAGAUGACCCUUAUAGCAGGCUUUAGGCCGAUGACUCCCAAAUCAGAUGAUUUUAGGGCAUCAGGUUUUUAAAUACCUUUACAGGCUUACUGACCCGAGUCAAAAAGGCUUUGAAGAGAACAAUUUUUUUUUCAAGUGCAACUUCGUCUCUAAUUGAUUUCUAAAUGACCCUUGUAACGAGCUUUAGAACGAUGGCUUCCAAAUUAGAUGACUUUAGGGCACCAGGUUUUAAGAUACCAUUACAUGCUUAAUCACUUGAGUCAUAAAGAUUUCAGAGAGAAGUUUAAAAUUUUCAAAUGUAUAUGCCUUGAUUAGUGCAAUGCCCCUUAUCACACACUUAUUCAAACAAACCGACCUCUAACUUAAGGCUUCCGUCGAGUUUUAUCAUAUUAGUCUAAGACAAUCCACACCUAAGUUUUCACACAUGGAAUCCACAUUCACAUCCACAUCUUCCUACAACUGUAAAGUAACCCCCAAACUGUGCUCAAUUUGGUCUAAGGAUAAAUAAUUUAAUAUGGCUCAGGUAAAGCAUCUAUGUCCCAUUAGAUCAACCUAUCAAAAAUAAGAAACAACUCAUUUAAUCACAAUGUUAAACUUAAUUCUAGUGCGCUUGUAGUAUCAAAUUUUGCAAGGUUGAGCUUCAAUUAGUCUAGUAUGUAUCCUAUCCACAGUUCAUAAAUUAACACCAAAACUCAAAUUAAAUCAUCAUUGUUUGCAAGACUGUUUAACCCACACAAGCACAGAACUAAAUAAUUUUUUUUUUCGAUUUUUUUCUUUUUUUUUUUUUUAAAAAAACACACAAAAACAUAAAAACAAAAACAAAAUGUUUUUUCACCCCCAAGCAUUAAAACUGACAUUGUCCUCAAUGUCAUAAAACAUAAAUAAGCACAUAAAGGGGGUAGAGAAGAAAAAGAAGAAGGUACUCCCCAAAUUUUUUUGUUGAAUGUGUGAGGCAAUAUGUGAGACGACUGGAUAAUAUUCUUCAUCGUGCUUUCCCUUGGAUCUAUGUUGGUUUGAGUGUUCCACGUCCUCAUGUUCUUGAAAAAUCAAAUUUGACAAAUUAAAGAGAAGGAACAAGGGUUACUUAACUCAAACAAUCAAAAUAACUAAAAGUAAAUUCAAGGCCUUGAGGGCGGAAGGGAUAUGGGUGAUGACUCCUAAAAAUUGAAACAUGCCAAAUCUAAUGCAAUCUAGUAAACAAAACAAAACUAUAUGCUAUGCGAUACGAAAAAUAAAAUAAAAAGUUUGAAAAUUGGGUUGCCUCCCAAUAAGCGCUUCUUUUAAGUCAUUAGUUGGACUUUGUGUUGCUCUUAUUCUGGUACAGCUAGGUCAAGCCUCUCUUUAGCGAUGGGAAAAUCUUCCACGUAGUGCUUGAUACAUUGGCCAUUUACUUUAAAGUUUCCUUUUGUUGGAUGGUGUAAUUUAACUGUGCUGUAGGGAAACACCUGAGAGAUUGUGAAAGGGCUGGACCAUCUAGAUUUCAACUUUCCAGGAAACAGUUUAAGUCUGGAAUUGUAUAAAAGCACUUGAUCUCCCACUCUAAAAAUUCUUUACCUAAUGUUCUUGUCAUGCCACUGCUUCGUCCUUUCCUUGUAGAUGGCUGCAUUCUCAUAUGCUUCUCUUCUGAAUUCUUCCAAUUCAUGUAGCUGCAGUAUUCUUGUUUCUCUAGCCUUUUCGAAGUCCAUGUUUAAUUGCUUCAAUGCCUAAUAUGCUCCAUGUUCAAACUCCACUGGUAGGUGGCAUGCUUUUCCAAAGACUAGUUGAUAUGGGGACAUCCCAAUAGGUGUCUUGUAUGUAGUGCGAUAUGCUCAUAAAACAUCAUCUAAUUUCUUUGACCAAUCCUUGCGAGAUGCAUUCACAGUGAGCUCCAAAAUUCUUUUCAAUUGUCUGUUCGAGGUUUCUACUUGUCUGAGGGUGGUAAGGAGUGGCAAUUCGAUGAUGUACCCCGUACUUAUGCAGCACUGCUUGAUGAUGGAAAGGGACCCAUAAAAUCAACCCCCCAGACAUCAAAUAUUUCGACCUCCGAAAUGUUGUUAAGUGGCAUCUCGUGAUGCGCUAAUAUGUUACCUGUUCUUUGACAUUUAUCACAUGAUCGGUAGAAACUGUGGCAAUCCUUAAAUAAUGUAGGUCAAAAGAAACCACAUUGAAGCACCUUUGCUGCUGUUUUAGUGGGACCAAAGUGUCCUCCAUAAGCGAAAGCAUGAACUCGUGAAAGGAUAGGUUUCAUCUCAUCCUCUGGCACACAUCUCCUAAUGAUCUGAUCUGCCCCUCUUCUGUAUAAAUUUGGAUCAUCCCAAUAAUAAAAUUUCGCUUCAUGAAUCAACUUCUUCUUCUACUGAUAGGUGAGAUCAGGAUCCAUAUAGCCAUUAGCUAAGUAAUUAACAAUGUCUGCAUACCAUGGAGCCUUUUCUAUCUGCAUUAACUGCUCAUCUGGGAAGACCUUAUUAAUAUCCACAUCAUUUGAAUUACGGAGUUUCUCUAGCCUCGAUAAAUGAUCCGUUACCUGAUUUUCUGUACCCUUUUUGUCGUGAAUUUCAAUGUCAAACUCUUGCAGUAACAGAACCCAUCGAAUCAGCCUAGGUUUAGCAUCCUUCUUCUCAAACAGAUAUUUCAAUGUUGCAUGGUCAAUGUAGACUAUUACCUUUGAACCAAUCAGAUAGGAACGAAAUUUGUCGAAGGUAAAGACCACUACUAGCAUCUCUUUUUCCAUUGUUGUGUAAUUGAUUUGAGCAUCUGUCAAGGUUUUGCUGGCAUAGUAGAUUAUAUGUAACACUUUGCCUUUACGUUGGCCAAGCACCGCUCCCAUUGCAAAAUCACUAGCAUCACACAUAAGUUCGAAAGGUAGAUCCCAAUCAGGUGCUACUAUUAUAGGUGCAGAAGUUAACUUUUCUUUCAAAGUGUUAAAUGCAUUUAAGCACUCAUCAGAAAAGUGAAAUGACACAUCCUUCUCCAAUAGAUUACACAGAGGUUUUGUAAUUUUUGAGAAAUCUUGAAUGAACCUUCUGUAAAACCCUGCAUGUCCUAAGAAACUUCUGAUCUCCUUAACUGUAUUAGAAGGCUGCAAUUUUUCAAUUACUUGUAUUUUGGCUUUGUCAACUUCAAUGCCCUUUGAGGAAAUCCUGUGGUCCAGUACUAUCCCCUAUUUUAUCAUGAAACGACAUUUUUCCCAAUUUAGUACUAGGUUCUUCUCUUCACAUCUUUGCAAUACAAGAGUCAACCGAUCUAAGCAACCAUCAAAUGAAUCUCCAAACACAGAAAAAUCAUCCAUGAAUACCUCGAUAUAUUUUUCCACCAUGUCAGAGAAUAUGGCCAUCAUGCACUGUUGAAAGGUUGCGGGUGCAUUGCAUAAACCAAAAGGCAUCCUUCUAAACGCAAAAGUUCUAUAGGGACAUGUAAAGGUUGUUUUCUCCUGGUCUUCUGGAGCAAUAACUAUCUGAUUGUACCCAAAAUAUCCGUCCAGAAAGUAGUAAUGAGAAUGACCGGCCAACCUCUCCAACAUCUGAUCAAUGAAUGACAAUGGAAAAUGAUCCUUUCUGGUUGCAUUGUUUAGCUUUCUAUAAUCUAUACAUACUCUCCACCCUGUCACUAACCGUGUUGGUAUCAACUCGUUGUUCUCAUUCUUCUCCACUGUGAUUCCACCCUUUUUUGGCACAACAUGCACUGGGCUCACCCAUGAAUUUCAGAGAUUGGAUAGAUAAUACCUGCAUCCAACAAUUUCAGCACUUCUUUCAAGGUUGGAUUUAAUCUACGUUGUCCUUCCCCUGAUGGCUUUGACCCUUCCUCCAUUAAAAUCUUGUACAUACAAAAAGUUGGACUUAUUCCUCUAAUGUCAACUAUUGUCCAUCCAAUUGCUGUUUUGUAUUGCUUGAGUACCUCUAACAAUUUAUUCUCCUCUUCCAUUGUCAUGUCAUUUGCAAUGAUUAUUGGAAGUGUUGUAGAUUCUCCCAAAUAAGCAUAACGGAGAUGUGAAGGCAAAGGCUUUAGUUCAAGAAUGGGUGCCUUUUCUAUUGAAGGUACUGGGGAUGAAGGGUUGUCACUAAAAGAUUCAUACUGCCAAUGUCUUCAUCCUAUUGGUUGCUUAGCCAAGUUGAAGACACGUUCAAUUUUUUCUGCACUUGUUGCUCCCGAUUGUGCAAUUUUUGCUUCACAAAGAACUGUUUGAUGCUCUGUCUCAAAUGUGUCUACCACCAACUCUUCAAGAACAUUUACUUGACAACAGGUGUCUGAAGUCAAUGGAUGUUUCAUUGCUUUGAAUAUGUUGAAUAUGACUUGCUCAUUGUCCACUUGAAGAAUCACCUUUCCAUCGUAAACAUCAAUUAGCGCUCUUCCGGUAGCCAAGAAGGGUCUUCCCAAGAUUAGAGGGAUGUUUGAAUCCUCCUUCAUGUCCAAUACGAUGAAAUCAGCCGAAAAAAUGAAUUUAUCAACUUUGACUAGCAUAUCUUCAAUAAUCCCCUUCGGUCGUUUGAUUGAUCUGUCAGCCAGUUGCAAUGAGAUUGUUGUAGGUUUUGCCUCUCUCAAUCUAAGAGACCUGUAAAUAGAGAGAGGCAUUAAAUUAACACUGGCAUCUAAAUCGCAUAAAGAAUGCUCAAAAUAAUUAGAACCAAUUGUGUAAGGUAUCGUGAAACUCCCUGGGUCUUUUAGUUUAGGAGGUAGCUUUUUCAAUAGAAUUGCAUUGCAUUCCUUGUUCAGGCAGACUGUCUCAUGUUCUUCUAGCUUUCUUUUGUUAGACAGGAUCUCCUUCUAAAAUUUAGCAUAGCUGGGCAUUUAGGCAAUUGCAUCUGCAAAUGGAAUAUUGAUCUGCAGUUUCUUGAAAAUCUCCACAAACUUGGCAAACUGUUUGUCCAAUUUCUUUCUCUAUAGCCUCUGAGGGAAGGGAAUUGGUGGCACAUAAGCUUUUACGGGGCUGGGUGCUCUCACUAUGGGUGUUUCUUUCGUUUUAUCAUCCUCGUUAGUUGGUUGUUCAGACUCUGCUUUUGUCCCAGCCUCUUCACCCAUUACUUCUUUGUCUUUUCUGUCUGGUCUCUUCACAUGUAUCUCUGGAAGUUGCACUCCAUUUCUAGUCAUAAUAGCUUGCACUUGCUCUUUUGGAUUGACCAUUGUACUGUCUGGCCAUGUCCCUUGUGGGCGUUCUGCAAGCUGUUGAGCAAUCUGACCAAUUUGAAUUCCUAACUUCUUAAUGGAUGCUUGCUGAUUCUAAAAGUUAGUGUCAAUCUCUUGGAAUACCUUGUCUGUCUUCUGCAUGUACUGGUUGAACAUCUCCCCCAAACUUGGUUUUUUCUCCUGUUGUGCAUUGUUUGAACUGCUCCCUUGCUGAUUAUCCGACCAUAUGAAGUUUGGGUGUUGUCUCCAUCAUGGGUUAGAUGUUUGUGAAAAUGGAUUAAAAUUUUGAGAAUCAUUUUGAAUGAAGUUGACUUGUUCGUCCGAAAAGCCCAUAGAUGUGCAAUUUUUUGUUAGGUGAUUUGCCCCGCAGUUUUCGCAAGAUGGGCCAGUUAUCACUGCAUGUGCUCCUUUUGUUUGUGACUUCACCAAUAACUCUACUUGUUUUGUCAAAGCUCCUAUUUGGCCAUUGGUAGAUGCUGUACUGUCUAAUUCAUAUAUUCCCGCUGCUUUUGGAGGCACCACUCUUUCUGAUGAAAACAUGAAUGAAUAGUAGCAAUCAACUCAAAUAGAUCCAUACAUUGCUGAACUGAUUUUCCUAUGAUCGAUCCACCUGCAGAGGAAUCCAUUUGAGAUUUGGACAGUGGUAAAAGUCCCGUGUAGAAAUACUGCACUUGAUUUCCAAUAGUGAUCCCAUGAAUUGGACACUUCCUCAUCAACUUAUUAAAUCUGUUCCAUGCUUCGUGAUAGCUCUCCCCAUCUCUCAGUUGAAAAGUUUGAAUUUUCAGUCUAAUUUUUGCUACCUUAGCUGGUGGAAAGAACUUAUUGCAUAAUUUUCUAGUCAGUUCCUCCCAUGUGGUAAUACUUCCAUUCGGUUCGGCAUCCAGCCAUUCCAAUAUUGCAUCUCUCAGUGUAUAUGGGAAUAAUCGCAGCUUGAUGGCAUCCUCCUUAACCCCAGGAGAAUGACAAUUCUGGCAAUUCCUGAGAAACCUUGAGAUAUGUGUGUUUGAAUUUUCAUGAGGUAACCCGUAGAAUUGCAUAGUGUUGCUCAUAAAAUAAAUCCAAUCAACCCAUAUCUGGAAGUUGUUUACCCCAAAAUCUGGAUAUACUAUGCAGGACCACGUGGGUGCUGCUAUAGGUGUCAAAAACAUAGAAAUUGGCAAGUCCCCUUCAUUUACUUCCCUUUGCUCUUGCUGUUGACCUCUCGCGGCCAUUUGUCCGAUUGGAUGUAUAGAGUUAGGAUUGUUUAGAUUAUCAGCCAUUUGAUGUUGCUGUUUUUGUUUGUGUUCCCUGCGUCUUCGUCUGAAGGUACGUUCUAUUUCCGAAUCAAACGAUUCAAGAUCAUCACCUUGGGUACGGAGAUACAAUGAACACAGUUUUCUGUAAAUAAAAGAAAAUAAGCAAAUCAAAUAAUAAUUAAAAAUAAGAUAGAAAAAUAAAUUAAAUUAAAUUAAAUUAAAACUAAAAAUAAUAGUCCCCGGCAACGGCGCCAAAAACUUGUUGUCGAUUUUAUCCGCAAGUGGACGGAUCGUAACAAGUAGUAAAGUGGAUCUUUUGAGUCCGAAUUAUCGUUCCCACGAGAACUAUACUUUAGUACUCAAUUUAUUAUUCAUAACUCCUAUUUGAUGAAUAUAACUAAAAAAAUAUAUAUUUGAUUGACUAUUAUUUUUAAAUCUAACUACUAAAAAUCUCGGGAAUACAACAGAAAAUUAGUGAGAAUUCAAAUAAUAAAUGGAGAUUAGGGCAGAACAACUUCACCUAUUGGUCACCUUUAUUUCUAAUAUUGAGAUUCAUAAAAUUAAAAUAGUGUUCGAUCAAAUUCUUUUAUUGUAUUUAACUUACCCCUCUCGAGUUCUGGUUGAGCUUAUUUAAAUUAGUUCAAUUCCAUAUUUCUAUGCAAAUUAAAUUUAAUUAAAUGAAAUAACACUUCUAAGAAUUGCUAUAGGAUCGCAGCAAUUAAUGUAGGUAUCUCUACACGUUAUAUUAAUUUAUCGAAUUUUAAUAUGUGGUCUAAACAAGAAUCCGCAUCUCUACAUAAUUAUUGUUCACAAAAUUAUUGAAUAAUUGGCCAGAGAAAUUCAAAGGAUAAAAAACAUAAUUAAAAUCCACACAUAAAAUAUAAAAUAACAAGAAUCUCAAAUAAAAGAAAUAAGGGUCUCAAAUAGAUUACAUUGUUCGCCCUAAAAUUAAAUUUAGCUACGCAUAUUGAUGAAAGAAAAACAAAAAAUUAUGGAGGAUAUCACCAGAUUAAUUGACUGAAUAUGAAUUUGCAGUUGGUUUCUGCGUGUCUUCCCUCCAACAGCUUCCUUCUAUUUUUCUCUCUGUCUACGUCAACCUCCUCUUUUUACACAAAGUGUUGAUUGCCUCAAUUACUCUAUGCAUGUAUGUAUGAAUCUCUUCAAUAGUAAUUAAGUAGCCACCAAGUUUUGCAUGAAAAUAUAUCAAAUUGGCUCCUCAAAUUCCGUGCGUAGAGAUGAUGAUGGCAACCCCUCCUUUUUUUUCUCUCUCCUUCUGUCCAUCGCAGAAAUUCCCCCUCUACUCUCUUCUAGGUUUUCACGUGUAUAUAUAUAUAAAAUUCCCUAGUAGGCACACUUUUUUGAAUAUAAAAGGGACCCCCUCUCCUCUUGCGUGAGUCUAUAUAUCCCACUUUAUAGCCACCAAGUUUGACUCUAAUUCAAACCUUUUAACGUGAUAUUACCCAUCAAGACCUCAUUCUUUCAAUAAAAUACAAUUUAAUCCUUGAAUCCUUUUAUUCUUGCAACACAUGUCUUCUUUGAUUCAAUUGAAGUCCUUCACUUUUCAAAAUAUGAAAUUUGAUCUCCAAAUUCUUCGAUCUUCGAUUCAUGGUCCGGAUCAACUAUUGAAUUAUUACAACUUGGUCCCCAAACUUUUGUAUUUCGCUCUUUUUUGCUUCAUUCUUUCAAUUCCCUUUUCAUUAAUAGAAUUUACCUAUUAAAAAUAAGAAACAACAAUUUAGGAUAUAAUUUGUCCAACGAAACAUCAAAUAUCUUUAUUUUAAGGUACCGAAUAAGUGUAUAAAAUACACUUAUCAGUAUCAAAACCCAACAAGAGGCAACAAGAAAUAAUGAAUGAUGAUUCAGCACUUCAAUAUAUUCAAUAGAAUAAAGAAGGGAAAAAUGAGAUUAUAUAUUUCUUUUUCAUAACACAACAUGCAUAUAUCUCUAAACUUUGUAAAAUGUUGCGAGACUGUCCCCAUUGAAUGAAAUGAGUCCAUUGUUCUAUUAUAUCCUCAUAUGUCUUGGAUGUUUGUUAUAGAAAAGGGUAAUUUUAGUGGCCGAUGUCCUAUUUCAAUUCAUUCAAAUCAGAAUGUCAGUUUCAAGAGGCAUUUUUGCAUUUGAAAUCAUCAAUCUUGCUGUUCAUCGCAUAAAAUUAGUUGUACUUUUGUGGAUUAUUUGGUUGUUUAUUGAAGAUCUAUUGAGUAUAUUGAUAUGUUGGCAAGAACAAACUAAUUGUUUGACAUUUGAAAAUGUUACAAAAGGUAUGACAUAAAAGAGUGAUAAUCCAGCCUUGAGUUGAUUAGGAUUUCUGAAAAUACACAUGUAAGGGUAAUAUUUGCAAACCUUGAGAAGAGUAUAGUAGAUGAUGGUGGCAAAAAGGGCUGCGUUGACUUAAGUCAGAAUUUAACUUAAGCCUCUCACAAUUGGGACCACGAUUUAACUAGAGUCUUUCAUGCUACAAUGUCUUAGAUUCAAAUCAUGGAAAAUGUGAUAAACAAUCAUAAGGUGUAAGAGGAAUUUAUGCUCUUUUAACACCAUUGCAUCAUACGUACUGUUCUCUUUGGGUGAGGCCAAGUCAAUCUUACCCUUCUUGGAUUUCUAUUGUGACCCUCUAAAAUUCAAAUGCAAGACCUUUGUCUUGUGAGAAACUUAGUUGAAUCCUAAUACCAGAAUUUGGAGGAAUCAAUGGAUUUAGAAGCACAAAGAUCCAACAUUUGAUGCCUUAUGAGUGACCUAAUUCGAAAUUUGGGACUAGGAUUUAGAGGAAUCGAUGGAUUUUGAAGCAAAGCGAUCCAAUGUUUGAUCCAAAUACACAGAUAUUGCCAUGGACAUUAAAAUUCUGCUUUCACACACAUACACGCAUAGAGAGAAAGAGAGAUGAGAGGAAAUUUCCAGCAGUUUCAAAAAUCAAAAGUUCUCCUACGAGCUUCAUAUAUAUUAUAAAUUUUGAAUCCCUAUUUCAAGAACAUAAGGUUAAUCAUAUAUGCAUUGUUGUAACAAGAGAUCAAGUUCUACAUUUAUUUUGAUUAUGCAUUUGCUUUUAAUGUAAAACUCUAAGCAAGAAUAAAAUAUGAUAUUCUCGAACCAUAUGUUGAGAUAGGAAAGGUCCUAAUUGAAAAUGAGAUGGACUAAGCAUGUAGUACUAUAGAACUUAAAAUACGUGUAUAAGAGAUCGUGAAGGAGUAUGCAUUUUAGCUCAAUUACAAUAAAAAAAAAAAAAGGAAAAACUGAAAAGUUAUUGAAUCGUUUUGUGGUUAUGAAACUUGUUGCAUUUUAUUUUGUUGAUUUUCCAACUCACAUGUUAUUUUCCGAACAUAAAUUUCAAGUAUUUAAUGGAUUGAUGUUCGUGGCGUCAUGUGGAGGAUUGAUGUAAAAUUUUAAUCAUCAUAUGUUUCCGUAGAAAAUGACUCCCAGUGAACUUGUGGUUAGUAGCAACUAGCCACUAGGCCACUAGGAUGCAAUGAAACCUCACAUUUAAUUAAAAUUUUAAUUUAAGUCAAAGUCAACAAGUAAGUUUUAUUAUAUAUAUCAUGGAAUCUAUAACUUUUCAACUACACUUUUCAUUUUUUUAAAAUCAAAAUUUAGUAAAAAUUUGAUUUAAAUUUCCUUCAAAGAAGGGAUUAAUUUCAACUUUCAGGCUAUUGAGGAAAUUGCGAGAUAGUGACAUAAGGAGCUUCAUGAAUAUCAAAACUAAUUAGCUCAUCAAAUCGAGAGAUGAGUCGGCACUCCAAACUGAAAGGUUGGUACAUAGUUUUUUCAGAUUUAACUUCAUAGGUUCGCAAUUUUUCAAAACAUUCACUUAGGUCCACGCCAUUACCCAAAAAAAAAAAAAAGAAACAAAAUAAAAGAUGAUAUUUCAUCAACAGAGGAUUAACACUGAUUUUUACAUUGCCAAAUGCGUGCUGAUUAAGUUGAUUUCAUGCGUCAGAGCUUGUGUCAUCUCUUUCGGGUGUGUAUAUACUAAUAAUUAAAAUGACAAAAACCAUAGACCUUCUGAGUGUCCUAUCUAUUUUUUUGCCCUAUUAUUCAUAAAAUUAUCUUCUCGCACACAUUACUUCACAACACAUUACACAGAUAAUCUUCUAGAAGAUAAUGAAUAAUUUAUGUUCAUGUAAAUUUCCCUUUUCUUUCUUCAAACAUAAAUGUUUGACCCCAUUUUUCAUGAGAAAAAAUGAGUUUUGUGAUAGUGAGAGAAUGCUUGGUUAAAAAAUAGGAAAAAAUUUUGAUUUUUCGUGUAAAAUUAUUUUAUUGAAAGAAUGUGGAUUGCAAAUAAAUUUGAGAAAAAAACAAUUUUUUUGAAAAUGGAACACAAAUAGGGGCAUUUUAAGAAAUUCCUCUCUCUCUCUCACACACACACAUAAAGGGGUACUAGAGGGAGAGACUAUGCUUUCUUUUUUUUUUUUUUUUUUUUUUUUUUUUUUUUUAUAAAAAUUUUUUUCCCCCUAAAAUCAUGUGUUUUUUUUUAAAAAGCGUAGAAGGUCCAUUCCCAUGGCUUUCGAAGUGUCCUAACUGCAUCUAAUAAAGAGUUUAAAAAAAGCAACAUAUAAAAGUUUUAGCUACUUCUUUUAAUAAGGUUUAUUUUCUAAAAUGGAACCCCAAGUUUCAGUAGAAUAUCACAGUCUAUGAAGUUUCAACGAACAAUUUGAUCCGAUUGGGACUCAAACGACCAAACAAAUUCCAAGAUUAACCUACUUAAACAUGUCAACAUCUUACAAGGCAUGUCCAGGGAUAAAACCUACAUUGAGUACUUGUUUGAGGGGCAUUAUUUUCUCAUUUUCAGAAGAAAUCCAACCUUUAUUGGACCCCAACUAGACUUAUUUUUGACUUGCAUUUCACCAAGUCUUGAAAGAUUGUGCACCAACAGUCAAAAAAAGCCAUUUUUAUUAGGAAAUAAUGCCCCUCAAUCAGAGACUGAAUAAAUAUAAAAAUAAUAAACAACUUGUAUAGACUUGGAUUACUCUGAUCAUAAUAAAAUUGUUUUAAGAAUAAUUUCAAGUCUCAAUAUCCUAUUUUUUGUGGAGUUAUCUUCUUCGACUAAGCACCUCGCAAUAUAUUAAACAAACAAUCUUCUAGAAGUCAACAAACAAUAGUCGUACUAAUCCAGAAGAUAACAAAUAAUUUGAAAAGAAAACAAAGAAAAAUCCAUUGGAAGAAAUCCUCUUAUAUAUAGAGGGAGAUUUAGGGCAGCAAUCGUAUGCGUGAACAUGGAGAUUAUAUACUACAUAAUUGGUGUGUGCUGUGCUUUUGUGUUACUGAUAUACACAUGGAGGGUGCUGAAUUGGGUUUGGUUUAAGCCCAAGAAGAUGGAAAAAAGUCUGAGACAGCAAGGUCUUAAUGGAAACUCGUAUCGAUUCCUUUAUGGUGAUCUGAAAGAUAUGAUAAGUAUGAUCCAAAAGGCCAAAUCGAAGCCAAUCAAUAUCUCAGAUGAUAUCAAGCCAAGAGUAAUACCCUUAUUCAUCAAAACACUUCAGGAAUAUGGUAUGGCUUAUCUGGACUGUUCAAAUUUUCUUGUUUAAUACUGUCUCAUAGAGUCUAAUCCGCCUUACUGAAAGUGCCGUAACUUCCAGGUACUGAUUCCUUUAUAUGGCUUGGGCCGAAACCAUCAGUUAUAAUCACGGACACAGAACUCGCAAAGGAGGUCCUAACUAAGAUAUAUAUCUACCAGAAGCCAAAAAGCAUGAAUCCAUUGACCAAGCUGCUCGCACAAGGUGUAGUGAGCUAUGAAGAAGAAAAAUGGGCGAAACACAGAAAAAUCAUCAACCCUGCUUUCCAUCUUGAGAAGUUGAAGGUUUUUUUUCCUACCUUAGACCGCUUAUUUAAAAGUGCUCAAAUGUCAAAAUUACUAAAUUUCAAGAUGUGGUACUUUCUUAAGAAACAAAGGAUUUCAUACCUAAAGAGCACUUAAUGCUGACUGGAUUGCUUUUCACCCCUCCUCCUUACAGCUUAUGAUGCCAGCUUUUUAUUUGAGUUGUGAUGAGAUUUUGGGCAAAUGGGAACAGAGUCUCUCUCCAGGAGGAUCGUGUGACUUGGACGUGUGGCCUUAUCUACAAAAUCUAACCAGUGAUGCAAUUUCAAGAACCUCAUUUGGUAGUAGCUACCAAGAAGGAAGAAGGAUAUUCGAACUUCAGAGAGAACAGGCUGAACACAUCAUCAAGGCUUCCCAGUCGAUCUAUGUUCCUGGAUGGAGGUAAGAAAAUACAUUUUUGACUAGUAUUGAAGAAA